UGGAACCAAGUUACUGAGCAUUGAGCCCCCGGAGACUAAAGACAUCACUCUCUCGGUCACUUACGUGGAUAAUUUUGAAUUUUGGAAUUUCAGAAAUGGGACAUUCAAACUAUACAAGACAGACGUUGUAUGCAGUCCUGUGGUGGGGAAAAUGGUCUGAUGUUGACAUCCUAGAUCUCCAUAACUUGAAUGAACGAAUACUUACUUCUCAAGAUUAUGGGGGAAAGGGGGAAUCGGAGGCGGCCCAACAAUGAGGUGAAUUAGGCAGUCGCCUGUGGCGCAAAACAUACAGGGGCGCAGUCGAGACUGCUUUUUCUGUUGAUUUGUUGUAAAACAUGAUGUUUUGGUGCUUAGUUUGUAAAAUCUUAAUGUAAUUUGAUGUUUAAUAGGCUUUUCCUUAAUCCCUCCUUAUUAUCCAACAUUUUUGCUUACCCAACGCUUUUAUUUUUCAGUGAUUGGUUUGGGGGGGGGGGGGUGCCAAAAUUCUGUUCUCCUACACUUGAAAAAUACCUAGGGCUGGCUCUGGUUAGAAUGAUUCUCCAAAAUGUUAGAAAUACAAUAGGGUUGGUGGACACAUCCCUAUGGAAGAUGCAAUUAUGUCUUUCCAGGUAUUCUGUUGUACUUGGAUGUCCCCAAACCCAAUACUAUGGCUGUCCAAAGACUUACACACUUACAUUGACAUCCGCGAGGCAGUCAGGCACGUUUUGUUUAGCUUCAGUUUCGAAAGGCGGGUUAUGAUCCAUGUUGACAUGUCCUUGGCUCAUCAAGCAGCCUGUGUUGUCAUUGUGUUUAAAAUAAUGAGCCGAAGAUCAGAUAAUGACUGAUGGCACAAUAGAUAGAUGUGGUUUUGGUUCAGGAACGUAAUGUCAUUCCUAUUUUGUGAUUGUGGCUCACAUCCUGGAGAGGAACACCUGUGCACUAUAAAAAGGAUGUCUCUCCUACCAGCAGAGGAAUUCAGCUAGAACACUUUGACCGGCUCCUCAAUUGCUAAAGCAGUGACACUUCAGCGGCAGAACAAUGGGCUGUUGUUGCGGAAGAUGCUCCAGGCGCCACAACCAAAAUCCCACUUAUGAAGGCCAUGGGCAGAAUAUGCAAGGAGGAGCGAAAGGAGGAGCAUCCUAUUCGAAAGGUGGAAGCUCGGGAGGACAAUCCGAAGGAUAUAAAGGUGCUCCUCAGCCACAAUAUAGCUCCGGCAGUGGCCAAGGAGGCAAAUCCUAGCCGACCAACCUCAAGAUUGGCAUUCACUUGGGCAACUGAAGACCUCUCCUGACAAGACCCCAGAUCCCGAAAUUUCAAAUGUGAAGAAUUCUAGAGGAAAGCAUAGCAAUCAGAUUGGGACUAUCUUUUAAAAAGGACUACAACAACAUCGUGUCAUCGGUUUAUUGCCUGGAUAUUACUUCCACUGGAGGCGAUAAAAAUGCAGUGUCCAUUCAUUGUUGUGUACUAUGCUUUAACCUAUAUUGACUUGUCCCUUUCCUGAAAUAAUAAUAAUAAUAAUAUAAUAAUAAUAGACUAUCCUUUACCCAAACAA